rnacentral:rRNA from 1 species
CUUGGUCAUUUAGAGGAAGUAAAAGUCGUAACAAGGUUUCCGUAGGUGAACCUGCGGAAGGAUCAUUACCGAGUUAGGGUCUUAUAGGCCCGAUCUCCAACCCUUUGUUUACUAUACCAUGUUGCUUUGGUGGGCCCGUCUUUCGGGGCCGCCGGGGGUCUUGUAACCCCUGGUCAGUGCCCGCCAGUAGCCUUAUUAAACUCUUUCAUAAUUAUGUUUGUCUGAGUAUAAAGAUAAAUCGUUAAAACUUUCAACAACGGAUCUCUUGGUUCUGGCAUCGAUGAAGAACGCAGCGAAAUGCGAUAAGUAAUGCGAAUUGCAGAAUUCAGUGAGUCAUCGAAUCUUUGAACGCACAUUGCGCCCUUUGGUUAUUCCGAAGGGCAUGCCUGUUCGAGCGUCAUUUAUCAACCAUCAAGCUUGGCUUGUCGUUGGACCUCUUUGCUGCUGAAAAUAGGUAGCAGGUCCGAAAGAUAAUGACGGUGUCGUGUUUGACCCUAGAUGCAACGAGCUUUUUAUAGCACGCAUUGAAAUGGUCGGCCGACCCAGUCUUCAACCAAAUAUUUUCUAAGGUUGACCUCGGAUCAGGUAGGAAUACCCGCUGAACUUAAGCAUAUCAAUAAGCGGAGGA